AGUCAGGUAACGAGCGAGAUCCCUGCCUUUAGUUCGUACCAUUAUUCUCAGGAGUAGUGGAGCUAAUUAGAGGGACCGCCGUCGCUGAAACGGAGGAAGGUGGGGCUACGGCAGGUCAGUAUGCCCCGAAAACCUCGGGCCACACGCGGGCUGCAAUGGUUAAGGAUAAUGAGUUUCGAUUCCGAAAGGAGGAGGCAAUCUCUAAACCUUACCACUGAUAUGAUUGAGGGCUGAAACUCGCCCUCAUGAAUAUGGAAUGCCUAGUAACCGCGUGUCACUAUCGCGCGGUGAAUACGUCCCUGCUCCUUGCACA
rnacentral:rRNA from 1 species